AUUGAACGCUGGCGGCAGGCCUAACACAUGCACGUCGAGCGUAGCGGCGGACGGGUGCAUCAUGCCUAGGAAUCUGCCUGGUAGUGGUGGAUAACGUCCAGCAACGUGCGCUAAUACCGCAUACUACCAGUUCACCCUAGGUCGGAUUGUCUAGUUGGUGGGGUAAAGGCCUAACAAGGAGACGAUCCGUAACUGGUCUGAGAGGAUGAUCAGUCACACUGGAACUGAGACACGGUCCAGACGACUACGGGAGGAAGCAGUGGGGAAUAUUGGAAAAUGGGCGAAAGCCUGAGCCAGCCAUGCCGCGUGUGUGAAGAAGGUCUUAGGAUUGUAAAGCACUUUAAGUUGGGAGGCGUUACCAACAGAAUAAGCACCGGCUAACUUCGUGCCAGUAGCCGCGGUAAUUC
rnacentral:rRNA from 1 species